rnacentral:lncRNA from 1 species
CACGGUGGCGUCGAGGGUGCCGUUCUCCAUGGCCACCUCGGCCAGCGCCGUCGCGUAGCUCUCGGCGGCCGCGUCCUCGCCGGCUCUGGGCCGGAGGAGGUCGCCGCGGCGGCGGCGGGGCGGGGCGAGGCGGAGGGAAGGGAGGCCCCGGGCCACCGCGCAGGCGAAGGAGGCCGUGCGGGGCGCCGCGGCGGCCGCGGAGGAAGGAGAUGCGGCCGGGCGGAGCGCGACGGAG